GGAACACCAUGAGAGAGAAACAGUUGAUCUCAGGGUCAAAGAGAGAAGCAGGAACAGAAGCAGCUCCGCUGAUCCAACUCCUCUGAUGGCCGAUCAAUCUGUUUGAUCUUUGAUCAUUGAUCCGAUCUGACUCUGGAUCAGAGAGAAAAUGGAGGUGAAGCAGCUGAUGGAGGACGGAUGAAGACAGGAGGACGCUUUGUCAGCUUCUUCUUCACUCUGACUCCUCCUACUGACUCUCACACACAGUCUACACACUCACUAUUGAUUCCUGCUGAUCAGUGAUGUCAGAGUGAGGUCAGCGUGAUGUCACAUGGCUUGAACGGGCGUGUUUCCUGUGAACCUCCCAGCGGCUGGAUAACAGCUGCGGCUCUCUGGAUAUUUGUGGCUCGUUCUAAUGCGUGCAGUCAAACAAACUUUAUUUCUACAGACACAGAGAAGUCAGCAGCUGCAGGAAAUCAGAACCACUGACAGGAAGUUAAGAGUCAAGUUAAACCACAUGUCAGAACUUUCUACAGCAGCAGGAUUUAGAAGAUGCUGGAAGCUGCUGUCUUUAGAUUUUGGACCCGUCACAAUUUGUCACAUUUUCUGAAGCCACAACAAAUCUUGUUGAAAGGAAACAGUUGAUUGAAGGUCCAGUUUCAAACGAAGAGUCAAAGCUUCUCUUUGUGUCGACUCCUUUAAUGAGAACAUUGAAAAGGACUCGAGUCCAAGUCUCAAGUGUCCAGCUCAGAUUAUUCCAGCACCAACCCUGGCAGGAUGCAAGUUAAACAGAAAGCAACACAUUUAGUGACAGAACAGAAAGCAGCCAGCUGUUAAAAUGGACUCAGAGAAUGAAGACACAAUAAGAUUUGAUUCAGUCAGACUUUCACAAGAACAAAGGUUUGUUCAGCCUGAACACAAAUGUGGUCUGUAGUGUUUUUGUAGUCCCUGUUUAUUCAGCGCCUCUUCCUCCUCACUACACACUGGAUCAAAGCACAGCAGUUAAACCCAGAGGCCUCCAGUGGACCUGGUUCAGGCCUCUGAAACAUCUGGACUCUGUGAUCUUUGUCUUCCAGCGUUGACAUUUGGAGCAGGUAUAAACAGACGUCACGUGAUCUAGUUUGUUUGAAGCGUACCGAGUCCUUCAGACGUUGAUCUCAGAACUCAGCAGAAACUCCACUUCUUUAGUCUCUUUCCUCCAGGUUCUGGUUUUUCUCGUCUCUCUGUUCAUUCCUCAAAGAUAAAGCUGGAUUUUUCAUUGAAGCUGAAACAUUUCAGUAAAUAUGCCAGAUUUAGCCAGAAGGCUGUUUUUCAUCUGUAGUCAGUACAAGUCAACACAAAACAGACAACAUAGUAAAACCAACCCAGGGACCAGUAGACUCCAGCACAAUAUACUAGCAGUCAUUAUGUUCCAGUACACAGGUCAUGAACUGUUACCAGAGGAAAUCAGAAGCUUACAGUAAUCUGUUGGACUCAAAGAUGUUAUGUUAUUAAAGUGCUGUUUAUGCACUCAGAUCUAAUUCAAUAAUCUGGUUUCCUGCAGCGGUUUGAAGCCAAAAUAAACAUUUUGCUGUGAUUUCAUUUCAAUAAACUGAUCAAAAUGA